ACAUGACAAGUACGGAGUCGAGCGAACGAACCCAGCAGUACUUUUACGUUACGGUAAUGGACGCGUAGGGGACGCGAGCGGCGGAGUGGGUGAGUAACACGGUGGGGAACCUGCCCCAUAGUCUGGGAUACCACUUGGAAACAGGUGCUAAUACCGGAUAAGAAAGCAGAUCGCAUGAUCAGCUUAUAAAAGGCGGCGUAAGCUGUCGCUAUGGGAUGGCCCCGCGGUGCAUUAGCUAGUUGGUAAGGUAACGGCUUACCAAGGCGAUGAUGCAUAGCCGAGUUGAGAGACUGAUCGGCCACAUUGGGACUGAGACACGGCCCAAACUCCUACGGGAGGCAGCAGUAGGGAAUCUUCCACAAUGGACGCAAGUCUGAUGGAGCAACGCCGCGUGAGUGAAGAAGGUUUUCGGAUCGUAAAGCUCUGUUGUUGGUGAAGAAGGAUAGAGGUAGUAACUGGCCUUUAUUUGACGGUAAUCAACCAGAAAGUCACGGCUAACUACGUGCCAGCAGCCGCGGUAA
rnacentral:rRNA from 1 species